UACGUAGGGGGCAAGCGUUGUCCGGAUUUAUUGGGCGUAAAGGGCGCGUAGGCGGCGAACCAAGUCAGAUGUGAAAGUCCUGGGCUUAACCUGGGGACUGCAUUUGAUACUGGUUUGCUUGAAUUCGGGAGAGGAUAGCGGAAUUCCCAGUGUAGAGGUGAAAUUCGUAGAUAUUGGGAAGAACACCGGUGGCGAAGGCGGCUAUCUGGACCGACAUUGACGCUGAGGCGCGAAAGCGUGGGGAGCAAACAGG
rnacentral:rRNA from 1 species